UUCUCAAAGAGAUUAUUUUGAGUAAAAUCUGCUCACUGUUUUAUUAAGGGCCGCAGAAUUUUACUGUGCUAAGGUAGCAUAAUCACUUGCCCCUUAAUUAGGGGCUAGAAUGAAGGAUUUAACAUUUUAAUUACUUUCUUGUAAAAAAAAAAUUAACUUAUAUUAAAUAUAAAAAUAUAUUUAUUCAUAAAAAAGACGACAAGACCCUAUCGAACUUAACUUAUGUUUAGCUGGGGCAGCUAAUUAAACAAAAUUUUGAUGCUUAAAUUACCAGAAAUGACCCAAUCAAUUUGACUUUUUGAUCUAGUUACCGUAGGGAUAACAGCGUAAUUAACUUCUAAAGCUCUUAUUAAAAAGUUAGAUUGCGACCUCGAUGUUGAAUUAUUUAUCUAUAAAACGCAGCCGUUUUAUAAGAGGAUCUGUUCGAUCCUUAAACCUUUACA
rnacentral:rRNA from 1 species